GAGGCCAACCAGCGAAACACUUUGAUGGAGCACUAGGGUCUCCCAAGCAAAACUUCCCAGAUGGCCCAACAACAGAAAGAGGAUCUUUGCUCGUUGGUGGACAGCUGUUUGGGGAGGAGGGCAUGGAGGCCCCGCUGUCAUUAGACAGACAGAAGAUGGUUCAUGACCCGGUGCUGCAUCACCAGUCUUGGAUAUCUUCCCUCGUUUCCUUGAUACCCCUGGGCUGACUGACCAGGAUUUCUCAAUGAUGCUUGAGGACGAAGUCUCGGGAAGAUUUCUUUCCAAAUGGUCUUAUAUUUGAAACAAAAAGUCAUUGCAGAAAGCCAAAGUCUCCCAUCAAGUCCUUCUGUUGAGUUACGAGCUUCUUGUGACCCAGAGCCCUCAAAUGACUGUGGAUGGGAUGGUGACCUGGCAGCUCUAAUACUGUUACUGCAGCUCCUACCCCCAAAUCAAGAGGCCACAAAAAUCAGCAAAGAUUAGCUCAGCAGCCAAUCAUGUAGUAAGAUUCCUCAAGCUAAGCAGCAUUAGCCUUUUUGUAAACCUCUUUGUAGCUCAUGAUUUCUGUCCUGUAUGCUGCAUGACUUUGUAAAAACGGUAAGCCUUGAAAUAAAACCAUGAAAGAUGAAAUUAUGUCUUAUCUAUUGAUCAGACAAGGGAUCAACAAAUACCAUUAUGGCUCUGCUUUAAAAAAAAGUUAAUUGACAGAUCUGGGGUCAGUAAACUCACAUAGGCUGUUCAGAAAGAAAUUAAAAAAGCAUUACUAUGUUGAUCUUUUAUUGUACUUGGAUAAAGUUGUGUUCAGACAGGUUACUUGCUUGGGCCUGUAGAGAUUAUAUGUAAACUUAACAGUUGAAUUUUACUCAUGACUGAUGCCUGUCAUUCAGAUUACAGGAAGGAGCCAGUCUCUCUACCUUCCUGGACAAAGUUGCCACCAGGCAUUGGUGAACAAAAGAAGAAUAUUCUGAGGUUCUUCAUCGUUGGUAUUCCAUGUGCUGCUCCAACUUCAGUGGCUGCUUUUGAUGGACUGUUCAAAGCUCACUUUGUCUUCAGCCUCUCAUAUGAUGAAGCUCUUUCCAGUUUCUACACCUUCAUUCAAACUACAAUCUACAAUAUUGAUGUUGGGAACACAGGAAAGCCCACGAGUCAAGGAGCUGAGAGCACGUCUCCUGCAUUAAGAGGUGAAAGUGUCAAACUGCAGCAGAAUAUAGACGGGUGUAGGACGACUUAAAAUCCAUUUGACAAUGUUCAUAUGCUUUGUUUGUAAAAUCCACCACAAAGACUGUCAACAUUUAAAAUUUCAUCAUGGUUUAUAUCCUGCUAAAAGUUUAUGUUUAAAAUGUGGAGAGCAGGGUUGUGUUUCUUCUUUUUGCACUUACAAUGGCUUUCGAAAACAUCUUCACAAUGUGCACAGUCAUCAUGAUAAGCAUGUAGGGAUACAGCAGGAAGCUGUCAUACAAAC